GUGCUCACUUCAGCAGCGCAUAUACUAAAACUGGAAAGAUACAGAGAAGAUUCGCAUGGCCCUGCAUAGGAUGACACAUAAGAAGGGGGAAAAUGAUAACCCAUAUUU